rnacentral:rRNA from 1 species
UAAUACGGAGGAUCCAAGCGUUAUCCGGAAUCAUUGGGUUUAAAGGGUCCGUAGGUGGAUAAUUAAGUCAGAGGUGAAAUCUUGCAGCUCAACUGCAAAAUUGCCUUUGAUACUGGUUAUCUUGAGUCAUUAUGAAGUAGUUAGAAUAUGUAGUGUAGCGGUGAAAUGCAUAGAUAUUACAUAGAAUACCAAUUGCGAAGGCAGAUUACUAAUAAUGUACUGACACUGAUGGACGAAAGCGUGGGUAGCGAACAGGAUUAGAUACCCUGGUAGUCCACGCCGUAAACGAUGGUUACUAGCUGUGUGGACUUCGGUCUGCGUGGCUAAGCGAAAGUGAUAAGUAACCCACCUGGGGAGUACGUUCGCAAGAAUG